rnacentral:misc_RNA from 1 species
GUGAAUCAUCAAAUUUUUGAACGCAAAUUGCGCUUCUUGGCAUCCCGGGAAGUAUGCCUGUUUGAGGGUCAGGAUUAACAAAAAAUCGGGUUGGUUGCAAAUUGUGACGUUUCCGGUGUGUGGGCUAUCUUAACUUUUUUGGUUAAGGGGCUUAAAAUUGACCUUAUUAGCGCAUUUUUAGACGUGCAUAAAUUUUUUUUUAUUCGUCUAUCUUUAAUACCAAUAUCUUAUUAGAUGCGU